AGCGAACGCUGGCGGCAGGCCUAACACAUGCAAGUCGAACGAACCUUUCGGGGUUAGUGGCGGACGGGUGAGUAACACGUGGGAACGUGCCUUUAGGUUCGGAAUAACUCAGGGAAACUUGUGCUAAUACCGAAUGUGCCCUUCGGGGGAAAGAUUUAUCGCCUUUAGAGCGGCCCGCGUCUGAUUAGCUAGUUGGUUGAGGUAAUGGCUCACCAAGGCGACGAUCAGUAGCUGGUCUGAGAGGAUGAUCAGCCACAUUGGGACUGAGACACGGCCCAAACUCCGACGGGAGGCAGCAGUGGGGAAUCUUGCGCAAUGGGCGAAAGCCUGACGCAGCCAUGCCGCGUGAAUGAUGAAGGUCUUAGGAUUGUAAAAUUCUUUCACCGGGGACGAUAAUGACGGUACCCGGAGAAGAAGCCCCGGCUAACUUCGUG
rnacentral:rRNA from 1 species